rnacentral:rRNA from 1 species
UGCAGGCGAGGGGGCACUUCGGUGUCACCGUCGUACGGGUGCGUAACGCGUAUGCAACCUACCUUCAACAGGGGGAUAGCCCGGGGAAACCCGGAUUAAUACCGCAUAACACAGUGAACCUGCAUGGGUUUAUUAGUUAAAGAUUUAUUGGUUGAAGAUGGGCAUGCGUUCGAUUAGCUAGUUGGCGGGGUAACGGCCCACCAAGGCGACGAUCGAUAGGGGAGCUGAGAGGUUGAUCCCCCACACGGGCACUGAGAUACGGGCCCGACUCCUACGGGAGGCAGCAGUAGGGAAUAUUGGGCAAUGGAUGCAAGUCUGACCCAGCCAUGCCGCGUGCCGGAAGAAGGCCCUCAGGGUUGUAAACGGCUUUUAUUCGGGAAGAAGAGCAGGGAUGCGUCCUUGUGUGACGGUACCGAAUGAAUAAGCACCGGCUAACUCCGUGCCAGCAGCCGCGGUAAUACGGAGGGUGCGAGCGUUGUCCGGAUUUAUUGGGUUUAAAGGGUGCGUAGGUGGCUUUGUAAGUCAGUGGUGAAAUACAUCCGCUUAACGGAUGAGGUGCCAUUGAUACUGCAGAGCUUGAAAGAAUUGGAGGCUGCCGGAAUGGAUGGUGUAGCGGUGAAAUGCAUAGAUAUCAUCCAGAACACCGAUUGCGAAGGCAGGUGGCUACGAUUUAUUUGACACUGAGGCACGAAAGCAUGGGGAGCAAACAG